GCCUUCGUGGCGUAAUGGUCAAAACACUCGGAUCGUAUUCGAGAGGUCUGAGGUUCGAGUCCUGGCGAGGGCA
rnacentral:tRNA from 1 species